GACAAUGGGCGCAASUGAUCCAGCGAUGCCGCGUGUGUGAAGAAGGCCUGCGGGUUGUAAAGCACUUUCAGUAGGGAAGAAAAGCCGAGUGCUAAUAUCACUCGGUCUUGACGUUACUUACAGAAGAAGCACCGGCUAACUCCGUGCCAGCAGCCGCGGUAAUACGGAGGGUGCGAGCGUUAAUCGGAAUUACUGGGCGUAAAGGGCGCGUAGGCGGUUUGGUAAGUCGGGUGUGAAAGCCCCGGGCUCAACCUGGGAAUUGCAUUCGAUACUGCCUGGCUAGAGUAUGGUAGAGGGAAGCGGAAUUCCGGGUGUAGCGGUGAAAUGCGUAGAUAUCCGGAGGAACACCAGUGGCGAAGGCGGCUUCCUGGACCAAUACUGACGCUGAGGCGCGAAACGUGGGGAUCAAACAGGAUUAGAUACCCUGGUAGUCCACGCCCUAAACGAUGAGAACUAGCCGUUGGAGGAGCUUUGUCCUUUAGUGGCGCACUAAACGCGAUAAGUUCUCCGCCUGGGGAGUACGGCCGCAAGGUUA
rnacentral:rRNA from 1 species